rnacentral:misc_RNA from 1 species
CCGAGUUCAUGCCCUCACGGGUAGAUCUCCCACCCUAUGUUAUCAUUACCUUCGUUGCUUUGGCGGGCCGUCAGGCUUCGGCUAGGCUAUCGGCUCCGGCUGGUAAGCGCCCGCCAGAGGACCCAAACCCUAAAUGUCAGUGUCGUCUGAGUACUUUAUAAUAGUUA